rnacentral:rRNA from 1 species
CCUACGGGAGGCAGCAGUGAGGAAUAUUGGUCAAUGGGCGGAAGCCUGAACCAGCCAAGUCGCGUGCGGGACUAAGGCCCUACGGGUCGUAAACCUCUUUUGCCGGGGAUCAGUGCCCCGCUCGCGAGCUGGGAGGGAGCGUACCCGGAGAAAAAGCAUCGGCUAACCCCGUGCCAGCAGCAGCGGGAAUACGGGGGAUGCGAGCGUUAUCCGGCUUUAUUUGGUUUAGAGGGUGCGUAGGCGGGCCUUCGGGGCGGCGGGAACAUUGCGGGGUGAAACCCCGCCGAGCCGUCGGAACCGGGGGCCGUGAGUACCGGAGAAGUUCGCGGAAUGCGGGGUGUAGCGGUGAAAUGCAUAGAUAUCACGCAGAACCCCGAUUGCGAAGGCAGCGUACCGGCCGGUCACUGACGCUGAGGCACGAAAGCGCGGGUAUCGAACAGGAUUAGAUACCCCUGUAGUC